rnacentral:rRNA from 1 species
AGCAGCCGCGGUAAUUCCAGCUCCAAUAGCGUAUAUUAAAGUUGUUGCAGUUAAAAAAGCUCGUAGUUGAAUUUCGGGAUCAAUUUGUCGGUCGUGCCUCGGUACGUACUGGUAUUAUUGAUUCCUACCUUCUGACGAACCAUGAUGUCAUUAAUUUGGUGUCAUGGGGAAUCAGGACUGUUACUUUGAAAAAAAUUAGAGUGUUUAAAGCAGGCUCACGCUUGAAUACAUUAGCAUGGAAUAACGAAAUAGGACGUUUGAUUCUAUUUUGUUGGUUUCUAGGAUCGACGUAAUGAUUAAUAGGGAUAGUUGGGGGCAUUAGUAUUCAAUUGUCAGAGGUGAAAUUCUUGGAUUUAUUGAAGACUAACUACUGCGAAAGCAUUUGCCAAGGAUGUUUUCAUUAAUCAAGAACGAAAGUUAGGGGAUCGAAGACGAUCAGAUACCGUCGUAGUCUUAACCAUAAACUAUGCCGACUAGGGAUCGGAUGAUGUAAUUUUUAAUGACUCAUUCGGCGCCUUAA